GAUGAACGCUGGCGGCGUGCCUAAUACAUGCAAGUCGAGCGAACAGAUAAGGAGCUUGCUCCUUUGACGUUAGCGGCGGACGGGUGAGUAACACGUGGGUAACCUACCUAUAAGACUGGAAUAACUCCGGGAAACCGGGGCUAAUGCCGGAUAACAUUUAGAACCGCAUGGUUCUAAAGUGAAAGAUGGUUUUGCUAUCACUUAUAGAUGGACCCGCGCCGUAUUAGCUAGUUGGUAAGGUAACGGCUUACCAAGGCAACGAUACGUAGCCGACCUGAGAGGGUGAUCGGCCACACUGGAACUGAGACACGGCCCAGACUCCUACGGGAGGCAGCAGUAGGGAAUCUUCCGCAAUGGGCGAAAGCCUGACGGAGCAACGCCGCGUGAGUGAUGAAGGUCUUCGGAUCGUAAAGCUCUGUUAUUAGGGAAGAACAAAUGUGUAAGUAACUGUGCACGUCUUGACGGUACCUAAUCAGAAAGCCACGGCUAACUACGUG
rnacentral:rRNA from 1 species